rnacentral:rRNA from 1 species
GACGAACGCUGGCGGCGUGCUUAACACAUGCAAGUCGAACGGAAAGGCCCUGCUUGCAGGGUACUCGAGUGGCGAACGGGUGAGUAACACGUGGGUGAUCUGCCCUGCACUUCGGGAUAAGCCUGGGAAACUGGGUCUAAUACCGGAUAGGAGCCAUUUUUAGUGUGAUGGUUGGAAAGUUUUUUCGGUGUAGGAUGAGCUCGCGGCCUAUCAGCUUGUUGGUGGGGUAAUGGCCUACCAAGGCGGCGACGGGUAGCCGGCCUGAGAGGGUGGACGGCCACAUUGGGACUGAGAUACGGCCCAGACUCCUACGGGAGGCAGCAGUGGGGAAUAUUGCACAAUGGGCGCAAGCCUGAUGCAGCGACGCCGCGCGGGGGAUGACGGCCUUCGGGUUGUAAACUCCUUUCGCUAGGGACGAAGCUUUUUGUGACGGUACCUAGAUAAGAAGCACCGGCUAACUACGUG